UCCUUGGUGGCUCAGACAGUAAAGCAUCUGCCUACAAUGCAGGAGACCUGGGUUCAAUCCCUGGGUUGGGAA
rnacentral:tRNA from 1 species